rnacentral:rRNA from 1 species
UACAGGGGGGCAAGCGUUGUUCGGAAUUACUGGGCGUAAAGGGCUCGUAGGUGGCCAACUAAGUCAGACGUGAAAUCCCUCAGCUUAACUGGGGAACUGCGUCUGAUACUGGAUGGCUUGAGUUUGGGAGAGGGAUGCGGAAUUCCAGGUGUAGCGGUGAAAUGCGUAGAUAUCUGGAGGAACACCGGUGGCGAAGGCGGCAUCCUGGACCAACACUGACACUGAGGCGCGAAAGCUAGGGGAGCAAACGGG